rnacentral:misc_RNA from 1 species
GUGGAAUGAAGAUGUGUAGUCUUCCACACCUGCUUUUGUUUAUGGAUAAAAUUAUUUUUAUCACAUGCAAUGCAACCAAUUUAUCAACGUAUGGAUGUGAGUUUCUUUAGGUUUCACACGCAUAUCUUCACUAGAUUUACCGGUGGAAUGAAUUAUUGGAAAAUGUAUUGCUGUGUGAUUUUAUUACUAAAUUUAGUAGGCUUUAUGCAUUUUUGACUGAAUGUAAUCCGCAUCAUUGGAGUUAUAAUAUGUAAUUGGUGAUUCAUUAUUUCUAGAAUAAAAAGAUACGAUCCAUGUCAGGGAAGAGUUGCACUCAUUGAUAUAAUGUUGAGUGGUACUGUAUAUGAUAUAUUGUUUCCUCCUUGCAGUUC